AGAAUCAACGCUGGCGGCGUGCCUAACACAUGCAAGUCGAACGAGAAAGUGGAGCAAUCCAUGAGUAAAGUGGCGCACGGGUGAGUAACACGUGACUAACCUACCCUGGAGUGGGGGAUAACUGAGGGAAACCUUAGCUAAUACCGCAUAAUACCUACGGGUCAAAGGAGCAAUUCGCUUCAGGAGGGGGUCGCGGCCGAUUAGUUAGUUGGCGGGUAAUGGCCCACCAAGACAGUGAUCGGUA
rnacentral:rRNA from 1 species